rnacentral:rRNA from 1 species
AUUGAACGCUGGCGGCAUGCUUUACACAUGCAAGUCGAACGGUAACAGGCCGCAAGGUGCUGACGAGUGGCGAACGGGUGAGUAAUGCAUCGGAACGUGCCCAGUCGUGGGGGAUAACUGCUCGAAAGAGCAGCUAAUACCGCAUACGAUCUAUGGAUGAAAGCGGGGGACCGUAAGGCCUCGCGCGAUUGGGGCGGCCGAUGUCAGAUUAGGUAGUUGGUGGGGUAAAGGCGCACCAAGCCCACGAUCUGUAGCGGGUCCGAGGGGACGACCAGACAGACUGGGACUGAGACACGGCCCAGACUCCUACGGGAGGCAGCAGUGGGGAAUUUUGGACAAUGGGGGCAACCCUGAUCCCGCAAUGCCGCGUGCAGGAAGAAGGCCGUCGGGUUGUAAACUGCUUUUGUACGGAACGAAACGGUCUGGGUUAAUACCCUGGGCUAAUGACGGUACCGUAAGAAUAGGCACCGGCUAACUACGUGCCAGCAGCCGCCGUAAGAC